CUUCACACAUGCGAUCAUGCACUGGAGGCGGAACUAUUUGCAUGCAUGGAAGGCAUUGGCCUUGCUCUUGAGUGGAGUGCAGCGCCCUUCAUCUUGGAGUCGGACGCCCAGACGGCAGUCCAGAUGAUCAACUGCGUGGAGACCAACAGAUCGCCUAGUGCGGCCAUUGUCGGUGAGAUCAAACGGCUUCUGCAACAAGGGCGCCAACACUUCGUCUGUUCAGUACGCCGUGAAUGUAAUAAUGUAGCUCACCGCCUAGCUCGGCUUGGACAUCACACCACGCGCACGGCAGUGUGGUUGAGGUCAGGACCCGUGAGAUUGAUUUGCUGUAUCACAGUGAUUGUAUCCCCAAUCACUAAGUACUGA
rnacentral:rRNA from 1 species